rnacentral:rRNA from 1 species
GACGAACGCUGGCGGCGUGCUUAACACAUGCAAGUCGAACGAUGAAGCCCUUUCGGGGGUGGAUUAGUGGCGAACGGGUGAGUAACACGUGGGUAACCUGCCCUGUACCCUGGGAUAAGCCUUGGAAACGAGGUCUAAUACCGGAUAUGACCUGCUCUCGCAUGGGGGUGGGUGGAAAGUUUUGGCGGUGCAGGAUGGACCCGCGGCCUAUCAGCUUGUUGGUGGGGUGAUGGCCUACCAAGGCGACGACGGGUAGCCGGCCUGAGAGGGCGACCGGCCACACUGGGACUGAGACACGGCCCCAGGACUCCUACGGGAGGCAGCAGUGGGGAAUAUUGCACAAUGGG